rnacentral:rRNA from 1 species
UACGUAGGUGGCAAGCGUUGUCCGGAUUUACUGGGCGUAAAGAGCGCGCAGGCGGUCGGAUAAGUGACGAAUGUAAAGCCCCCGGCUCAACUGGGGAGGGUCAUUCGAUACUGUUCGACUCGAAGGCAGGAGAGGGAAGUGGAAUUCCCGGUGUAGUGGUGAAAUGCGUAGAUAUCGGGAGGAACACCAGUGGCGAAGGCGACUUCCUGGCCUGUUCUUGACGCUGAGGCGCGAAAGCUAGGGG